rnacentral:rRNA from 1 species
AACGAACGCUGGCGGCAUGCCUAACACAUGCAAGUCGAACGAGAUCUUCGGGUCUAGUGGCGCACGGGUGCGUAACGCGUGGGAAUCUGCCCUUUGGUUCGGAAUAACAGUUGGAAACGACUGCUAAUACCGGAUGAUGCCGAAAGUCCACAGAUUUAUCGCCAGAGGAUGAGCCCGCGUAGGAUUAGCUAGUUGGUGUGGUAAAGGCGCACCAAGGCGACGAUCCUUAGCUGGUCUGAGAGGAUGAUCAGCCACACUGGGACUGAGACACGGCCCAGACUCCUACGGGAGGCAGCAGUGGGGAAUAUUGGACAAUGGGCGAAAGCCUGAUCCAGCAAUGCCGCGUGAGUGAUGAAGGCCUUAGGGUUGUAAAGCUCUUUUACCCGGGAUGAUAAUGACAGUACCGGGAGAAUAAGCUCCGGCUAACUCCGUGCCAGCCGCCGCAGUAA